GAGGACGUGUUAACGCAGGGUUGGUAUUACAUAGUGGAUUGGUAUAAGUACAUUGUAUGAUUGAUUAAUCCGAGUUUACUCAUACAUUUCCUGUCCAUUUCCACAACAGUUCUGUAUUACUAUUAUCUUGCAUGUACAGUGGCUGAUCUGGAAAGGUGGUGCUCCCCACUUUUGUUGAAUAUUUUUAACAAAAAUGUAAAUAAAUUUAUUAUGUGCCAUUAUCUCCUCUGUGGACGAAAAAGGUACAUUUAAAUCCCUGUGAAAAUUUUCUAGAUCUGCCUCUGAAUUCUAUAUGGUGCAAGUACAAGCGAAACAAUGGACUAAUAACUGACUUACUUCUUAGCCGUAUUGUGGAAAAAUGUAAAUAUUCAUCAUCAUAUAAUAUCAUCGCAUCUUCCAUUUCUAUUAACAGGUUCUUUUUUCAAUAGCCAUCACAAACUAAAAUAUUGAAAAAUGAAGUGAGUGGAGCUACUCAGCACUUCAAUGAGUUCAACUGAGAUUUGAUUUACAACAGUAACUUGGAAUAAGACAACAUUAUAAUAAAGGAGGACAGAAACCAAGAAAUAGACCAUUGCCAAAGAAAAUGGACAGAAGGAAGAAGAAAAGGGUUACAAAUUUUACAAAAUCCAAGUGUGCUAAUGGAAUGAUGCCAAGCAAUGAAGAAGAUGAUGAGGGCUUCUUGACAUACUGAUAUUCAUAGGAAAGCAACUCCUUUAAAACAGACAUAGAAAUUUGUGUGGCAAGAAGAAAUAGACUCGUCUAAACAAGAACGGGGGAUCUAUAAAAGACAAAGACAAACCCAAGGCUGCAGAUGAUUUCUUUUGGAUAUUUAGAUGAGAUCUUCAUUUGGGACUUGGACAAUAAGCCUAUUUUCUGUAUAAAUAUAUAUCACAAUAUUUGUACCAUGAUCCAUUUUAUAUUAAUCUGAUUUUGAAAUUUACAAAAGUGUUUUUUUAUUACAAAUACAAAUUUAUCGUAUCAACUAUGUAAAAAUAUAUAUUUUUAAAUAUGAUAUUGGAACAAAUCAAACUUUAAUAUAGUGAUUGUGUUUGAAAUAUGUGACUAUUCUUUAUACAUUUAUUCACUAUCUUGAAUAAUUGGUCUGAAAUUAUUGUUACAGUAACUUUUGUAAAUGUUUUCAUCUUAAAUUUGAUGUUUUCAUCACAUUAAUCUUCAAAUGAAAAUACUGAAAAAUGAUAAUUUUGAUUACAGGCAAUUUUCUUUGUGAAUUGACAAUUUGAAAAAGAGUAAUGUGACAAGGCCUUAAUUGUAUUUUAGUUUGCCCUUAUACAAGUAUAUGUAUGUUAUACUUAAUAAUAGUUGAAUAAAUAUUUUUAUAUGUACUAGAAAAU